UUGAGCCACAUCCCCAGCCCAAGCUUUUCCUAUUUUUGGUACCAGGGGUUGAACUCAGGGGUAUUCAACCACUGAGCCACACCCCCAAGCCCUAUUUUGUAUUUUAUUUAGAGACAGGGUCUCACUGAGUUGCUUAGCACCUUGCCAUUGCUGAGGCUGGCUUUGAACUUGCGAUCCUCCCACCUCAGCCUCCUGAGCUGCUGGGAUUACAGGCAUGCGCCCCCAUGCCCUGCUCUGUUGGAGUCUGUAAACAAGUCAAAAUAACAUCUGGCAUUUUGCCAGGGGAAUGUUAGAGUUGGUAAACAAGUCUGGAUGGUGCCUGGCAAAAUGCCAGAGGGAGUGGUUUGAGAGGUAACAAAAGCAAGCCAUUAAGUGUGGAGAUUCCUGAUUGGUUGACUGAUGUAUCUAGUUUAUGCUAAUUAGAUAAACUGUGUGGAAUGUAUAAAUACUGCUCCUGUCCUACAAUAAACGGCUCCCACUCCUGCU
rnacentral:lncRNA from 1 species